UACGUAGGGUGCGAGCGUUAAUCGGAAUUACUGGGCGUAAAGCGUGCGCAGGCGGUUCGCUGUGUCCGAUGUGAAAGCCCCGGGCUUAACCUGGGAAUGGCAUUGGAAACUGGCGGGCUUGAGUGCGGCAGAGGGGGGUGGAAUUCCGCGUGUAGCAGUGAAAUGCGUAGAUAUCGGGAGGAACACCUGUGGCGAAAGCGGCUCACUGGACCAUAACUGACGCUGAGGCACGAAAGCUAGGGGAGCAAACAGG
rnacentral:rRNA from 1 species